rnacentral:rRNA from 1 species
AUUGAACGCUGGCGGCAGGCCUAACACACGCAAGUCGAGCGGAUGAUGGGAGCUUGCUCCUGGAUUCAGCGGCGGACGGGUGAGUAAUGCCUAGGAAUCUGCCUGGUAGUGGGGGACAACGUUUCGAAAGGAACGCUAAUACCGCAUACGUCCUACGGGAGAAAGCAGGGGACCUUCGGGCCUUGCGCUAUCAGAUGAGCCUAGGUCGGAUUAGCUUGUUGGUGAGGUAAUGGCUCACCUAGGCGACGAUCCGUAACUGGUCUGAGAGGAUGAUCAGUCACACUGGAACUGGGACACGGUCCAGACUCCUACGGGAGGCAGCAGCGGGGAAUAUUGGACAAUGGGCGAAAGCCUGAUCCAGCCAUGCCGCGUGUGUGAAGAAGGUCUUCGGAUUGUAAAGCACUUUAAGUUGGGAGGAAGGGUUGUAGAUUAAUACUCUGCAAUUUUGACGUUACCGACAGAAUAAGCACCGGCUAACUCUGUGCCAGCCGCCGCCGUAAAAC